rnacentral:tRNA from 1 species
GGAUACGUGGCAGAAAGGCGAUUGCACCCGCCUGCUAAGCGGGGGCCUUGAAAAGGGCAUCUGGGUUCGAGUCCCAGCGUAUCCG